AGGUGAUGCUGUUACAGAGUCUGUACGCUAGGUAAGGUUUCCGAAGCUGGCAAUUUGGUAAACACGGCAUAGUACUGUGCUGUAGGUCCAACUCGAUCAUGCUAUUCCUGCCGUGUAUUUCGAAAGAAAGACAUGUUCGCCUUCAUCGAUGAUGUUUAGAGGCGAGAUUUUGGGCAGCCAGAAAUACCAUAUGGUUUCUCGUCGCUUAUCCAUUGGCCGCUGCAAGAGCUUGAUGGAGUCCAGGUGAUAAAACACGCCAGCUGCUCGACCUGCAUGUAACAAAAGUGGGACGAUAUAAUCGGCAAAAGGAGGAGUGCAUGCAUUAAUUCAAAGUGGA
rnacentral:sRNA from 1 species